rnacentral:lncRNA from 1 species
GGUUUUAGGGUUUAGAGUUUAGGGUUUAGGGUUUAGAGUUGAAGGUUUAUGGUUUAGGGUUUAGAGUUGAUGUUUCAGGGUUUAGGGUUAAUUUUUUAGGGUUUAGGGUUCAGAGUUUACUUUAUAGAGUUUAGGGUUUAGUGUUGAUAGGUUUAGGGUUUAGAGUUGAUGUUUUAGGGUUUAGAGUUGAAUGUUUAGGGUUUAGGGUUUAGAGUUGAUGUUUUAGGGUUUAGGGUUAAUUUUUUAGGGUUUAAGGUUUAGAGUUUACUUUUUAGGAUUUAGGGUUUAGUGUUGAUAGUUUAGGGUUUAGUGUUGAUGGUUUAGGGUUUAGUGUUGAUGAUUUAGGGUUUAGUGUUAUUUUUUGUGCAUUUCUUCUAAUUUCUAAUGUUUCUUUA